rnacentral:tRNA from 1 species
AGCAGGGUAGUAUAUGUGUAGUACGUUGGGUUCAUGCCCCGCUAGUGGGAAGAUGUUUCUUCCCUCCUGCCU